rnacentral:rRNA from 1 species
UACGGGGGGGGCAAGCGUUGUUCGGAAUUACUGGGCGUAAAGGGCUCGUAGGCGGCCAACUAAGUCGGAUGUGAAAUCCCCAGGCUUAACCUGGGAACUGCAUCCGAUACUGGAUGGCUUGAAUCCGGGAGAGGGAUGCAGAAUUCCAGGUGUAGCGGUGAAAUGCGUAGAUAUCUGGAGGAACACCGGUGGCGAAGGCGGCAUCCUGGACCGGUAUUGACACUGAGGCGCGAAGGCCAGGGGAGCAAACGGG